rnacentral:rRNA from 1 species
CCUACGGGAGGCAGCAGUGGGGAAUAUUGCACAAUGGGGGAAACCCUGAUGCAGCAACGCCGCGUGAGUGACGAAGGCCUUCGGGUUGUAAAACUCUUUUCUGAGGGAUGAGGAAGGACAGUACCUUAGGAAUAAGUCUCGGCUAACUACGUGCCAGCAGCCGCGGUAAAACGUAGGAGGCGAGCGUUAUCCGGAUUUACUGGGCGUAAAGGGCAAGUAGGCGGUGGUUCAAGUUGGGCGUGACAGAUCCUGGCUUAACUGGGAGAGGUCGUUCAAAACUGGAUCACUAGAGGGCAGGAGAGGGGAGCGGAAUUCCUAGUGUAGCGGUGGAAUGCUCAGAUAUUAGGAAGAACACCAGUGGCGAAAGCGGCUUUCUGGCCUGCACCUGACGCUGAAGGGCGAAAGCUAGGGGAGCGAACGGGCUUAGAUACCCUGGUAGUC